rnacentral:rRNA from 1 species
AUCUUCGGAUCUAGUGGCGCACGGGUGCGUAACGCGUGGGAAUCUGCCCUUGGGUUCGGAAUAACUUCUGGAAACGGAAGCUAAUACCGGAUGAUGACGUAAGUCCAAAGAUUUAUCGCCCAAGGAUGAGCCCGCGUAGGAUUAGCUAGUUGGUGGGGUAAAGGCCCACCAAGGCGACGAUCCUUAGCUGGUCUGAGAGGAUGAUCAGCCACACUGGGACUGAGACACGGCCCAGACUCCUACGGGAGGCAGCAGUAGGGAAUAUUGGACAAUGGGGGAAACCCUGAUCCAGCAAUGCCGCGUGAGUGAUGAAGGCCUUAGGGUUGUAAAGCUCUUUUACCCGGGAUGAUAAUGACAGUACCGGGAGAAUAAGCUCCGGCUAACUCCGUGCCAGCAGCCGCGGUAAUACGGAGGGAGCUAGCGUUGUUCGGAAUUACUGG